UAGUUUGAAAGGGCAUUCCUA
rnacentral:siRNA from 1 species